CUCAGUUCAGAAAGAUGUUCACACACCUUGGAGGCCGCACCCAAACCUGUUCAACCAUCCCACAAGCAUGAGUCUGAGACACUCUGGGGGCACCCAGUUCAGACCUUCACCUUCACUGAGGUGGGACAGCUUCGUUGGAGGCCCUGAAAGGGGUUAGGAGAAUGUCUGUUCAGCUUCUGUUGAACCAAACCUCCAGGUUGAUUUUGGCCAGGAAUCCCCACUGGGGAUUCCUGGUGGAGGGCUGUGAACUUGCUGAGGAUAUGAAGAUAUCUGAAGUCAAUCAAUCAGAUUGCAACAUGACACUUUUUAUCUUUUUAACCUAACUGCCAGCUGGAAACUUGGAAAUCCUCCCUCAGUUUUUGCUUAUUAUGGGAGACUGACUCAUGGACAUUAACUUGCUUCCAGCCCUUUCUAGCCCUACCCUCCCUGACUCAGCAUUUUAGUAUCACAAAGAAGUCCAGAAGUCAUGUCCUUGGUGACUGUUGAAGCUGAAGCACAAAGAAGUGAAGUGACUGACCCAACUAUCUAUAACCAGGAGCAGCAGAGCCUGGGUUACACAUCCAUUCACCCAUAGGUGCAUGCAUGAGACUCAUUCAACACACACUUAUUAGCAUCUACCAGGUUCCAGGCGAUAUGCUAACUCCUGGGGCUACAGAGUUAUAAUUAAGAUAGACCCUCUUCCUGCUCUGUUAACACUCAUGGUCCUGUAGAGAAGAUAGUCAUGAAAGGAAUUAUUUGCAUUUGUAAAAUGUGCACA
rnacentral:lncRNA from 1 species